GACGAACGCGGCGGCGUGCCUAAUACAUGCAAGUCGAACGAGAGCGACCGGUGCUUGCACUGGUCAAUCUAGUGGCGAACGGGUGAGUAACACGUGGGUAACCUGCCCAUCAGAGGGGGAUAACAUCCGGAAACGGAUGCUAAAACCGCAUAGGUCUUCGAACCGCAUGGUUUGAAGAGGAAAAGAGGCGCAAGCUUCUGCUGAUGGAUGGACCCGCGGUGCAUUAGCUAGUUGGUGAGGUAACGGCUCACUAAGGCCGUGAUGCAUAGCCGACCUGAGAGGGUGAUCGGCCACAUUGGGACUGAGACACGGCCCAAACUCCUACGGGAGGCAGCAGUAGGGAAUCUUCCGCAAUGGACGCAAGUCUGACGGAGCAACGCCGCGUGAGUGAAGAAGGUUUUCGGAUCGUAAAACUCUGUUGUUAGAGAAGAACAAGUGCUAGAGUAACUGUUAGCGCCUUGACG
rnacentral:rRNA from 1 species